UACGGGAGGCAGCAGGGGGAAUAUUGCACAAUGGGCGAAAGCCUGAUGCAGCUAUGCCGCGUGUAUGAAGAAGGCCUUAGGGUUGUAAAGUACUUUCAUCGGGGAGGAAAAAACAAAACUAAUAAUUUUAUUUCUUGACGUUACCCGAAAAAGAAGCACCGGCUAACUCCGUGCCAGCAGCCGCGGUAAUACGGAGGGUGCUAGCGUUAAUCAGAAUUACUGGGCGUAAAGAGCACGUAGGUGGUUUUUUUAAAGUCAGAUGUGAAAUCCCUGGGCUUAACCUGGAACUGCAUUUUGAAACUGAAAUACUAGAGUAUCGUAGAGGGAGGUAGAAUUCUAGGUGUAGCGGUGAAAUGCGUAGAUAUCUGGAGGAAUACCUGUGGCGAAAGCGGCCUCCUAAACGAAUACUGACACUGAGGGUGCGAAAGCGUGGGGAGCAAACAGGGAUUAGAUACC
rnacentral:rRNA from 1 species